AAAAAUAUAUUUAAAUAAAAUUUAUUCUACAAAAAAAAUUUUAAAAUUUAUAAUUUAUUAAAUAAAAUUAUUUAUGUAAAGAUUCAGUUUAGAAGUUAAAAUACAGAAAUUAUAAAUUUAAUAAUUUGGGUUUUUAGAAUAAUAUAAAUCUUAAAGUUUUAUAAAAUAAUUUAUUUCUAUAAUAAAACAUUUAUAUUUGAAUUAUAUUUAUUUA
rnacentral:tRNA from 1 species